GUUAGUAGUGACGAGCGAACGCGGACCAGGCCAGUGGCCAAUUUGAAAACAACCAGAAUGACCUGGAAAGGUCAGCCAUAGUGGGUGAUAGCCCCGUAUGGGUAAUGUUUCAUUUUGGUCCUUGAGUAGGGCGGGACACGAGAAAUCCUGCUUGAACAUGGGGGGACCACACUCCAAGCCUAAGUACUACUCUGUGACCGAUAGCGAACAAGUACCGUGAGGGAAAGGUGAAAAGAACCCCUAUGAGGGGAGUGAAACAGACCUGAAACCGAAUGCUUACAAACAGUAGGAGCUACAUUAAGUAGUGACUGCGUACCUUUUGUAUAAUGGGUCAGCGAGUUAAUUUAUUGAGCAAGCUUAAGCCGUUAGGUGUAGGCGAAGCGAAAGCGAGUAUGAAUAGUGCGAUUUAGUUCGAUGGAUUAGACCCGAAACCGGGUGAUCUAGCUAUGGGCAGGUUGAAGGUGCGGUAACACGCACUGGAGGACCGAACCCACGUCUGUUGAAAAAGACGGGGAUGACCUGUGGCUAGGGGUGAAAGGCCAAUCAAACCCGGAGAUAGCUGGUUCUCUGCGAAAACUAUUUAGGUAGUGCGUCGUGUAUUACCGUCGGGGGUAGAGCACUGGAUGGGCUAGGGGGGCGCGAGCCUUACCAAACCUAACCAAACUCCGAAUACCGGUAAGUACAGUAUAGCAGACAGUCCAUGGGUGCUAAGGUCCUUGGACGAGAGGGAAAGAGCCCAGACCACCAGCUAAGGUCCCUAAGUUAUGGCUAAGUGGGAAAGGAUGUGGGAAGGCCAAGACAGCCAGGAGGUUGGCUUAGAAGCAGCCAUCCUUUAAAGAAAGCGUAACAGCUCACUGGUCUAGACAAGCCGGCCUGCGCCGAAGAUGUAACGGGGCUAAAGCCACAUACCGAAGCUGAGGACGUGAUUUAUCACGUGGUAGCAGAGCGUUCUGUAGGCCUGCGAAGCGUAAUCGUGAGAUUGCGUGGAGGUAUCAGAAGUGAGAAUGCUGACAUGAGUAGCGAUAAAGAGUGUGAGAAACACUCUCGCCGUAAGCCCAAGGGUUCCUGCGCAAGGCUAAUCCGCGCAGGGUGAGUCGGCCCCUAAGACGAGGGCGAAAGCCGUAGUCGAUGGGAAUCAGGUUAAUAUUCCUGAACCUGUUGGUAGUGACGGAUGACGUAAGUUGUACAUGCUUAACGGAUUGUGUGUGCAGUGAAGUUGUCCCAGGAAAUAGCUCCAACAUUAAGACCGUACCCCAAACCGACACAGGUGGGCAGGUAGAGCAUACCGAGGCGCUUGAGAGAACGAUGUUGAAGGAACUCGGCAAAUUGCCCCCGUAACUUCGGGAGAAGGGGGACCUCCAUUUAGGCAACUAGAUGGAGGUGGCACAGACCAGGGGGUGGCGACUGUUUAUUAAAAACACAGGGCUCUGCGAAGUAGAUAAUACGACGUAUAGGGUCUGACGCCUGCCCGGUGCCGGAAGGUUAAGAGGAGGUGUGAGAGCUCCGAAUUGAAGCCCCGGUAAACGGCGGCCGUAACUAUAACGGUCCUAAGGUAGCGAAAUUCCUUGUCGGGU
rnacentral:rRNA from 1 species